GCAGUGCUUGAAUCCUGGCUCAAAGGUCUAGACUGCCAUGCUUCAUUUGUCUGCUCAGGUCUUGGCCAUCAGGAAUACAGAAGCAAUUAAGAUACGUGGAGUCCUGUCCUGCCUGUGGGGCCUUGGCCUCCCACGUUAGCAAGCAGCCUCCUGCCUCUGUGUGAGACCACCAGUGGGCCCGUGCACCUGUCCUUUCCUGUUCUUUCUCAGUGUCCGGCAGACAAACCCUCCGUAUCAACUUUCACCUUAACAAUUAAUUGCAUUCAAGAGUAUUCUGAGAACUGCCCCAGAGCUUUCAAGGGAGUUCUGGCCACAGAAAGAUUGGAGCCAGCUGCUCUGGGCACAGUCUUCCUGACCCACACCUGCAGGUUCCAGAAUGCUUCUCUGAUACAGUGACUGUUCCACCAUGACUGUGUGUUUCUGAUAGUGAAGAGACUUGAGGACAGGGACCAAAUGGUGGCUACUGUCUUGUCUUUUAAUUCUUGACGAAUAGUGGGUGUCAGAGGAAGAAGAAUUUUGAAAUGUUUGUUGGUGCGUUUUUGGUUUUUUGUUUGUUUGCCUGCUUGCUUGCUUGCUUUGUCUUUUGAACACAUAAAAAGUAUGCUGUUGUCUCUGUGACCCAGAUUUCGAGAACUGUUAGUGCUGUUGACACCCCUGUCCUGAGUAUCUGUCCCGUCCUAGAUACCAAACCACACACAUAGAUUCCCAUAAUGGGAUGCCCAGAUCAGUGCAGCUGUCAAAGGCCUUCACAAAAGAGCUGUGUUGAACCAAAUGAAAACUAGAAAUACACAAGUGGAAAAGAUUUGCCCAAGAGACAAUGAAGCCUCAAGUGUGGGCUACAGGUGUAUAGAGUCCCAAGCCAUCAAUAAAGCUGGAAUGUCCCGUAUGGGGAGCCCUGCAAGUCCUCCAUUCAGAAAAGCAGGACAGUACAGUAGGGUCUUGUUUUGUUUUGUUUUUCAGAAUAAUCAGUUUCUGCAAAUCAAAUAAUUGGUGAUAGCUUCGGUAGGGAACAGAAGAAUGGUAGAGCACAGAAGGUUUUCAAAACAUAAGUUGCUGCUUUGCUAAUCAAAAAAAUCUCAUCGCUCAGAUCCCAGCUUCUACAGACAUCCUGGAAGGCGAGACAGGAAGUGAACGCAGCUGACGUUUCCUUCCCUUUCUUGUGGAUUCAAAAGCUGAAAGCCCUGAGAUGGUGACCUUCUGAAGAUUAUUAAUGAGAACGCCACCCAGAGUUAGGAUUCUCUUAUAGUGAAAUCUAACAUCACAAGGUCACUGCCCGGCGAUGAGUCCCUUGAAACUGGUACUUGUCGGUUAUUCAGGAGAGCUUGGCUGUGUGGGAGCCAGAAGGAGCUAGAAUGAGGACAGGCUUGGGACUCAUCUCACACCCUAAGCGUGGCCAAGUUUGCAGAGCAAUAUCCUGGAACUAUAUGAGUAAAGUGCCGUAAAUCCCCUGCCGUGGGAAGAUAAGUGCCCUGAGUUUUGUAAGCUAAACGCACACUGCUGCUGAAAUCUGAUUGGAAACUCCGUGAUGUGGGGACUGAAAACCGCAAGCAGGAGGCAGGGUUUAAUCUCCUGCUGAAUGAUGGUUCAAGAUAGACCAAGAGAGAGACCUGCCGACUGAUAAAGCAGUCGAUAGCACAGAUGGGAGAUACCCACAGGGAGGGUAGCCGAGGAAGGGCGAGCAUUCCCGGGU
rnacentral:lncRNA from 1 species